rnacentral:rRNA from 1 species
GAGAUCAGAAGCGAGAAUGUUGACAUGAGUAGCGACAAAGAGGGUGAGAGACCCUCUCGCCGAAAGUCCAAGGGUUCCUGCUUAAAGCUAAUCUGAGCAGGGUAAGCCGGCCCCUAAGGCGAGGCCGAAAGGCGUAGUCGAUGGGAACCAGGUUAAUAUUCCUGGGCCAGUGGGAUGUGACGGAUCUCGAAGAUUGUCUGCCCUUAUCGGAUUGGGUGGGCCGUUCAGAGGUUCCUGGAAAUAGCCCCACAUCAGACCGUACCCUAAACCGACACAGGUGGACUGGUAGAGUAUACCAAGGCGCUUGAGAGAACCACGUUAAAGGAACUCGGCAAAAUGCUCCCGUAAGUUCGCGAGAAGGGAGCCCCAUAUGUACGCAAGUAUGUGUGGGGGGCACAAACUAGGGGGUGGCGACUGUUUACUUAAAACACAGGGCUGUGCGAAGCCGUAAGGCGACGUAUACAGUCUGACGCCUGCCCGGUGCUGGAAGAUUAAGAGGAGGGGUGCAAGCUCUGAAUUGAAGUCCCAGUAAACGGCGGCCGUAACGAUAACGGUCCUAAGGUAGCGAAAUUCCUUGUCGGGUAAGUUCCGACCUGCACGAAUGGCGUAACGAUCUCCCCGCUGUCUCUAACGUGGACUCAGCGAAAUUGAACUGUCUGUCAAGAUGCAGACUACCCGCGGUUAGACGGAAAGACCCCAUGAACCUUUACUCCAGCUUUGCACUGGUAUCAGGAUUGUGAUGUGCAGGAUAGGUGGUAGGCAUUGAAGCGGGGACGCCAGUCUUCGUGGAGCCUCCCUUGAGAUACCACCCUUCGCCAUCUUGAUAUCUAACCGCGGCCCGUUAUCCGGGUCCGGGACCCUGCAUGGUGGGGAGUUUGACUGGGGCGGUCGCCUCCCAAAUUGUAACGGAGGCGCGCGAUGGUUGGCUCAGACCGGUCGGAAAUCGGUCGUUGAGUGCAAUGGCAGAAGCCAGCCUGACUGCAAGACUGACAAGUCGAGCAGAGACGAAAGUCGGUCAUAGUGAUCCGGUGGUCCCAAGUGGGAGGGCCAUCGCUCAACGGAUAAAAGGUACUCUGGGGAUAACAGGCUGAUGAUGCCCAAGAGUCCAUAUCGACGGCAUCGUUUGGCACCUCGAUGUCGGCUCAUCUCAUCCUGGGGCUGGAGCAGGUCCCAAGGGUAUGGCUGUUCGCCAUUUAAAGAGGUACGUGAGCUGGGUUUAGAACGUCGUGAGACAGUUCGGUCCCUAUCUGCCGUGGGUGCAGGAGACUUGAGAAGAGUUGACCCUAGUACGAGAGGACCGGGUUGAACGAACCACUGGUGGACCAGUUAUCGUGCCAACGGUAGUGCUGGGUAGCUAUGUUCGGACAGGAUAACCGCUGAAGGCAUCUAAGCGGGAAGCCCCCUUCAAAACAAGGUCUCCCUUGAGGGCCGUGGAAGACCACCACGUCGAUAGGCCAGAGGUGUAAGCG